AGACGGCAGUGCAAGUCUGAUGUGAAAGCCCGGGGCUCAACCCCGGGACUGCAUUGGAAACUGUGCAGCUAGAGUGAUGGAGAGGCAGGCGGAAUUCCCUGUGUAGCGGUGAAAUGCGUAGAUAUAGGGAGGAACACCAGUGGCGAAGGCGGCCUGCUGGACAUUAACUGACGCUGAGGCGCGAAAGUGUGGGGAGCAAACAGGAUUAGAUACCCUGGUAGUCCACGCCGUAAACGAUGGAUACUAGGUGUGGGGGGUCUGACCCCCUCCGUGCCGCAGUUAACACAAUAAGUAUCCCACCUGGGGAGUACGAUCGCAAGGUUGAAACUCAAAGGAAUUGACGGGGGCCCGCACAAGCGGUGGAGUAUGUGGUUUAAUUCGAAGCAACGCGAAGAACCUUACCAGGACUUGACAUCCUACUAACGAAGCAGAGAUGCAUAAGGUGCCCUUCGGGGAAAGUAGAGACAGGUGGUGCAUGGUUGUCGUCAGCUCGUGUCGUGAGAUGUUGGGUUAAGUCCCGCAACGAGCGCAACCCUUAUUGUUAGUUGCUACGCAAGAGCACUCUAGCGAGACUGCCGUUGACAAAACGGAGGAAGGUGGGGACGACGUCAAAUCAUCAUGCCCCUUAUGUCCUGGGCCACACACGUACUACAAUGGCGGUCAACAGAGGGAAGCAAAGCCGCGAGGUGGAGCAAAUCCCUAAAAGCCGUCCCAGUUCGGAUUGCAGGCUGAAACUCGCCUGUAUGAAGUCGGAAUCGCUAGUAAUCGCGGAUCAGCAUGCCG
rnacentral:rRNA from 1 species